GAGCCCAGAGCCUGAAUCAGUGUGUGUGUUAGUGGAAGCGUCUGGAAAGGCGCGCGAUACAGGGUGACAGCCCCGUACACAAAAAUGCACAUGCUGUGAGCUCGAUGAGUAGGGCGGGACACGUGGUAUCCUGUCUGAAUAUGGGGGGACCAUCCUCCAAGGCUAAAUACUCCUGACUGACCGAUAGUGAACCAGUACCGUGAGGGAAAGGCGAAAAGAACCCCGGCGAGGGGAGUGAAAAAGAACCUGAAACCGUGUACGUACAAGCAGUGGGAGCACGCUUAGGCGUGUGACUGCGUACCUUUUGUAUAAUGGGUCAGCGACUUAUAUUCUGUAGCAAGGUUAACCGAAUAGGGGAGCCGAAGGGAAACCGAGUCUUAACUGGGCGUUAAGUUGCAGGGUAUAGACCCGAAACCCGGUGAUCUAGCCAUGGGCAGGUUGAAGGUUGGGUAACACUAACUGGAGGACCGAACCGACUAAUGUUGAAAAAUUAGCGGAUGACUUGUGGCUGGGGGUGAAAGGCCAAUCAAACCGGGAGAUAGCUGGUUCUCCCCGAAAGCUAUUUAGGUAGCGCCUCGUGAAUUCAUCUCCGGGGGUAGAGCACUGUUUCGGCAAGGGGGUCAUCCCGACUUACCAACCCGAUGCAAACUGCGAAUACCGGAGAAUGUUAUCACGGGAGACACACGGCGGGUGCUAACGUCCGUCGUGAAGAGGGAAACAACCCAGACCGCCAGCUAAGGUCCCAAAGUCAUGGUUAAGUGGGAAACGAUGUGGGAAGGCCCAGACAGCCAGGAUGUUGGCUUAGAAGCAGCCAUCAUUUAAAGAAAGCGUAAUAGCUCACUGGUCGAGUCGGCCUGCGCGGAAGAUGUAACGGGGCUAAACCAUG
rnacentral:rRNA from 1 species